rnacentral:rRNA from 1 species
GACGAACGCUGGCGGCGUGCUUAACACAUGCAAGUCGAACGGAAAGGCCCUGCUUGCAGCGUACUCGAGUGGCGAACGGGUGAGUAACACGUGGGUGAUCUGCCCUUCACUUCGGGUUACGCCUGGGAAAGUGGGUCUAAUACCGGAUAGGAGUCAUUUUUAGUGUGAUGGUUGGACAGUUUUCUCGGUGUAGGAUGAGCUCGCGGCCUAUCAGCUUGUUGGUGGGGUAAUGGCCUACCAAGGCGGCGACGGGUAGCCGGCCUGAGAGGGUGGACGGCCACACUGGGACUGAGAGGAGGCCGAGACUGGGACGGGAGGCAGAUGGGGGGAAGCUUGCUCAAGGGGCGCAGGCCUGGUGAAGAGGGGCCGCGGAGGGGAAAGCGGCCUUCGGGGUGAAAAAGCGCAGCGAGAGGAACCAAGCUUUUUGUGACGGUACCUACAGAAGAAGCACCGGCUAACUUCGUG